rnacentral:lncRNA from 1 species
UGGCAGAAGUAAAUGUAUGAAAUUUUUUGGACCAUGUACAUAGUGUGGAAAUUUACAAUCAAUUUAGAAGCAAUCGGAAUGUUUAUAUUUAGCAAAAUCGGUAUUUGUGUAUAUCUACAUAAUCUAUGAAGGAACAUAUUUGCUGAUAAUCUGGGACUUGCAAAGGAUGGAUGGAUGGAUUUUUUCAUGUGGAUUAAAAUUGACUUUUGAAGUAUUCCUAAUAUGUGGAUUAAAUAAGAUAUCCAAAUCUUUUUAAUGUGAAAUGGAAAAGGACAAAGUAUGAAUUCUAAUAUGUGAAUUAAAAACUGAUGGAUAAUUUGUUAUAGAGCAAGCAUAUAUCAUGGAGAGUUUAUAGCUGUUAACUAUAAAAAUCAACAGAAAAAGUGAUUUUAGACUGAUGUGAUUUAAUGAAUUGGUAUUUAUCAAAGAUAUUUUCUUUUUGAACUUUAAUUUUGUUGGAUUUCUCUAUUUCAUUUUAUCUUUAUUUCUACUUCGAGCAGCUAGUGUUUUCCUUUUACACAGUUCAAGUAUAUGUGUAAUUAUUGUGUUUAUUUCAUUUAUCAUGUUUAUAUGAUUCUUUAUUAUGUUUAUACAAGUAAAA